GCGAGACUGGGCAGCGAUGGAUAUGGAGCACGGCUGCGUCAGAGGGCCCAAAGGAGCAUGUCAUUGCCCAGUAGAGAAGGUUCUCCUCCGCCCCUGGAGGCUCGGGCCACUAUCAGAUCCACUUCACCCGGUCCCCGCCUGCUAGGACAGUACCGCUGCCACUCAGCCCGCAGGCCUAACCCACAGAAUGGAGCCGCAGCUCUUCUAGGUGUCCCCGCACGCCCACUUCUGUUCCACACACACGCUGACCGAUCCCACAAUCACCCUGACUCUGAGCAAUAAGCUAUCCGAGAUGAAGACAGAUUCAUUUUCUAAGCUGUCCCCUUGAAAGACUUCCAUGAUCAGUGCUGCCGCUGGAGGCCAUGUUGGUGUUCGUAGUCCUUGGAGCCUCUGAAUCCGCCUCGGCGUCUGAUUGACGAUGCCAGCCAGAGACCAUGUUGCUGUCCAUCAUUCCCGGUGCCACAAGCUACUGUGGACAGGGAAGAUUCUGUUACAGUAGUGUCGAAAAAUGGAUAGAACUGAAGACCAUCAUGUUAAGAGAAAUAAGCCAGACUUAGAAAGGCAGACGUCUCAACUUUCCACAUAAGAAGAAUCUGUGUGUGUGCUUGGAGGUGUUGACUAUAGAAGAGAGGCCAAAGUGAAUGGAGGAAAAGGGGAAAAUGCAAGCUAUGAGUCUCCCAAUUUUGGGGGAAAUGCAGUGGUCAGCACAUCCGGAUACCGUGAUGAGCCUCACCUGAGAACCCCACCUUCAUGACCAUGGCCGCUCCCUCGCCGGGUGAUCAUCUGCGCAUGGAUUUCUCUUCUACGUUAAGUAGGUGUAGGUAUCAUAGGUGUUUGGUUUUAGAGAGUUCUUUAAAUGUAUUUUUGUUUUACAAGUAUGAGCAUUUGCCUGCACGAUCUAUACCACUUACCUAAUACCUUUGGAGGCCAGAAGAGGGUGUCAGAUCCCUUGAAACUAGAGUCACAGACAACAGUGAGCAAUCAAGUGGAUAUUGGGAAUCAAACCCAGGUCCUCUGGAAGAGCAGCCACCGAGCCAUCUCUGUGGCCCCUGGAGUCAUGUUGUCGUUCAACCACAUUUAUCUGUUUAUUGAUUUACUGUGUGCAUAUGUGCAUGUGUAUGUGUGUGGGGAUGUCGCAGGGCAUGUGUAGAGGUCAGAGGGCAGACGACCUGCACCCGUAAGAAUCUUUUUUCUCCUUCCACUAUUCCCAGGCAGGUUUGACAGCAGACAUCUUAACCCACUGAAGGUAAGAUCUUCAUCUCACCAGGUCCCAUAGUUAAUUGUUAGAAGCAGGAAAAAAAAAAGUGUUAUUGCUAUUUGAAAACACAGAGGAAAGCAUGGGAUUUACAGACACUUCGACAAAAUAUCUGAGUUAUUUCUAGCAAUGCCACAGUGGACUAGCAGAGUGCAAGAUAAAUCCCCUAAAAGCAUGUAAAAAUAAUAGCCACAUCACAUAGUCUCUUCAAAAAUACAAGGAAAAGAGACCCCAUUCACAGCAUCGUGGAAGAAGUGCAUGCUACCUCUAGAAAUACAGAGAAAUAUAGAAAGUACUAUGGCUGGUGAGAGUUGGACCCCAUGUGGAUUUGAAUCUGUUUAAUGAUGAAAAAUGAGAACUAUAUUGAGUUUGGCGUACUUUCAAAA